rnacentral:lncRNA from 1 species
ACUUACCUGGCCAACAUGGUCAAUCAUAUUUUGAUUAGAUCACUUAAUGAUUGAACUUGACCCAUGCUAACUAAAAAAUCAAUAUGACUAAUUUAGAUGCCUUUAAUUCAACUUGUCUUGAGUCCUCUUCAUAACUUGGUGAAGUCAAUGGGAGGAUGUAUGAUUCGUUAGUAUUGAGAAUUAUGUUCUAAAACCAAUUAUGUAGUGCUUGUGUUCCUCUUUGUAUAUGAAUUAUUGAUA